rnacentral:rRNA from 1 species
UGGGGCUAGCUUUAGUGGCGACGGGUGAGUACACGUAAGAAUCUACCUUUAGGAGGGAAAUAACAAUUGGAAACAGUUGCCAAUAUCCCAUAAGCUGAAAAGUAAAAUAUUUUUUGCCUAGAGAUGAGCUUGCGUCUGAUUAGCUAGUUGGUAAGGUAAUGGCUUACCAAGGCUACGAUCAGUAGCUGGUUUGAGAGGAUGAUCAGCCACAUUGGAACUGAGACACGGUCCAGACUUUUACGGAAGGCAGCAGUGGGGAAUUUUCCGCAAUGGGCGCAAGCCUGACGGAGCAAUACCGCGUGAAGGAUGAAUGCCUGUGGGUUGUAAACUUCUUUUAUUAGGGAAGAAAAAAAUGACGGUACCUAAUGAAUAAGCAUCGGCUAACUCCGUGCCAGCAGCCGCGGUAAUACGGGGGAUGCAAGCGUUAUCCGGAAUCAUUGGGCGUAAAGAGUCUGUAGGUUGUUUAGCAAGUCUGCUGUUAAAUGUUAGAGCUCAACUCUAAAAAAGCAGUGGAAACUACUAAACUAGAGUAUGGUAGAGGCAAAGGGAAUUCCCAGUGUAGCGGUGAAAUGCGUAGAUAUUGGGAAGAACACCAGAAGCGAAAGCGCUUUGCUGGGCCAUAACUGACACUAAGAGACGAAAGCUAGGGG